UACGUAGGGUGCGAGCGUUGUCCGGAAUUAUUGGGCGUAAAGGGCUCGUAGGCGGUUUGUCGCGUCGGGAGUGAAAUCCACUGGCUUAACUGGUGGCUUGCUUUCGAUACGGGCAGACCGGAGGUAUGCAGGGGAGAACGGAAUUCCUGGUGUAGCGGUGAAAUGACGCAGAUAUCAGGAGGAACACCGGUGGCGAAGGCGGUUCUCUGGGCAUGUCCUGACGCUGAGGAGCGAAAGUGUGGGGAGCGAACAGG
rnacentral:rRNA from 1 species